rnacentral:tRNA from 1 species
CAAAAAAUAGUUUAAAAUUUAAAACAUUAAUCUUGGGGAUUAAAAUUAUCUUAGAUUUUUUUGA